rnacentral:lncRNA from 1 species
AAUAUUAAUCAUGUAGCAGUUAUAUGUUAAUGGGAACAUGAAAUGAAUGUAUGCCCAAACGAAAUGUGGUAAAUAUUUUAACUUUGUUUAUCUAGGUUCCUUAAUUUUGAGAACAUAUCUCUCAAGGCUCUUCAGGAAACUCAAAAUGUUCCAAUUUCUAGGAGUAUCCACUAGAACUGACUUAUAACAAAAGGAAAAAAUGAAAAUGUAUGCAUCAUAUGUCAAUAUAACCAUCACUUCUGAGGUCUCAAGCAAUCAGAAACUUAUUCAAGUUAUAGUCUGUAGGAAUUAGGCCAUUAACAUAUAUUUGGAAAGCCCUUCAGAACACUUAUGUUUAGAAUGUUAUUACUUGUGUUACGGUAGUAAAAAUUAUAUUAUAUAUAAUUGUUCUUAAUAUCCUAGUCUCUCAGCAAUAGUUCCUAAAGAAAUCAUGCCUGUCAACAUGGAGACUGAUGCAUGUGAAUGUAUACUUUGUAUUAUGUUUUUAUAUUUUGUAUUAUACUUUAUUAUACUUUUUAUAGCAGGUAAAAGAAUGACUACAUACAAUGAACUAUAACACUAAUUUGUUUAAUAUUAUAUUAAAACUAAUUAAGUACUUGGACUACAAUUCCAUCAGAACAGGAGUGAAUGAAUGUGAUUGAGAACCAGUUUUUAAUCUGUGUUGAGAUUAUUAGGCAAGCAGGUUGGUUGGUGGAUUGGUUGGUUUGCUUAAAAGGAUGGCCUUUUGGAGGAUAUAAUUUAUGUAUGGGAAAAUAGACUGGAGAUGAUUCACUGAAAUUCUCCUAGUAAUAUCCUGUUCAUCCAAACUACUUAGUACUAUUAAUAUUUGCCUCUGGGAGUGAAAACUGAAAGGAUACCAAAUUUUAUCCUUGAACACUUUGAGAAAUAAAAGAUCAAUUAGUGAAAUAAUUUCUAAUUGAAACUAAUUGUUACAGAGAAUGAUAUGCCUCACUAUUGUUCAACUCUAAUUAAAUGGGUUAUUUUACAUAUUUUAAAAUCCCAUUUUAAAGUAAAACAGAUUAUAAUUUCCACAUGAUAUUUUUUAUUGCUUUUGUUCCAUUCCUCAAUUUUAAAGUACUUUAAUUUUAGCCAAUAUGUGAAUAGAGGGGACUAAUCAUUCACUCUCUUCAGGUUUAUUUUAAGUGUUCCCAGAACUCUACCAUAGGGGGAAAUAACUCUAAAUUUAAAAGUUGCAAAGAGGAGUUUUCUUUCUUUCUAAUUUUAAUUUUUAUCACAGGGCAUGAUUAUGAAUGAUAACUUUCAUUUAAUCUUCUGUGGCAAAAUAAGUAAUUUCUAUUGAUUUUCACAAGCAUGUGAGCAAAAGACUGUUUUAAUAAGUAGUAAAUCAUGUAAGCACUUGCUUGGAGGAAGUGCCAUUUCUCCAAACAUAUGCCUUGAAAACAAAUCAAAUUCAGUUCCCUUUUUACUUCAGGGAAAGCCAUAGUGGGGAGACUUUUGAGGUCGGCAGUCUGUUUUUAUUCUUCCCACUUUCUAUUUCAAAAGUGGACACUCUCUGUCUUUGUCACCAAAUGCUGGGGUUGUCCUUCUAUGCUGGUGCAUGAUGAAACCCUGAGGCUUGGAAACUUGCAAACCAAUGAGAUGAUUUUGUGAUGAAACUGCAUGUUGGAUUGAUACUGCCCAUGAAUAAUCUUAAAUUUGAGAUAACUUUUAAAAGGAGCCCUACACUUUCUUCUAGUUUUGCUUACUUCUUAGCAGGGCUUGAGAUGUCUGUUUCUGCAUACUGAUGUCUUAACAAUAAUUUUUAGUUUCUCAUGACCUGAAAGAUUUUGUAUGCACUUCUUGGUCUGGAUUCUGGUUUCAUCAGGUCUAAUGCAGAUGAAUUAAUUUUGUAAAGCUAAAAUUCACUGUUCACUUAAACAUCUGGACCAGAUUGGGCAGGAUGAGUAGGAUGGAAGGAGAGUCCUUUUUGCCUUGUAGGUUCUGGAAGGUUACUUAGAGUUGAUUUAUCCAAGAUUAAAAGGAUGCUUUUGCCUAAGAUAUUUCUAAAGUUUGCUUAUGUAAGCAUUUUAGAUUUCAGAAAGUUCAACCUGAAAUGUAUAUGAAUAUAGAGUACAGACAGUUUCAUUUAGUGGGACAACAGCUGUCACUAACCCAUCAAGUUAAUAUGUCUCCUAAAUGCUUUCAAAAAGUACAGGACUAGAAAAUAUUUUUCACUGGCAAUGCUUUAUUCUGUUUUAAAAAUAGUAGGGGCCAAAAUCUAGUAAAGACUUGCACACUUGUUUUAUAUUGUGACUUACAAGGUACAAAUUUUAUAUUUUGUAAAAUAUUUUGAGAGAAGUCUCCAAAAUAAUUCCCCUUUCUUGCUCCCAAAUGCGGAAGUCUGAGAGAAGGCACAUGGCCUCAUGAGCUCCUGGGUGUUGUCAAACUCAAUUCUCUCUGAACUACCAAAUGCCCAGAUACAUUUACUGAGGAUGCAGGAGUCUCUCUUAAGCGGUAGUUUUUGUCUAUAUAAAGAGAAACAUCUUGAUUAAAGUGAGGAGAUAGAAACCAUACCAAUUUGGGCAGUUUGGGCUCUAAUGAUGUCUAAUUUGCUAUGAAAGGGGAACUUGUUCUAAGUUAAUCUUCUUAAAAGCAACAUCUGAAUUUCUCUUAAAAAAUACUUUAUAAAAAAGCGGUUUGAGGAAGAACUGUUUUAUUGCAUGGCACAGAUUAAAUGUACAGAUGUUAUCCUAAAAUUUAAGGAGGUCCCUUAUGAAUUUGAAUAUUCAAUACCAGCUGUUAUUCAUAUCAACAUUUUAAUAUUUUACCAUCUAGGUAUUUAUUAAAAAGGAUUGAUACAUAUUUAGCUGUGUAAAAUGUUAAACUUGUUCACACGGCUAAGAGGGAAAGGGAAAUAACAUUCCCUGAGCGCCUACUAUAUGCACAAGCUCUAUUUCAAAUAUCUUGCUUAAUCUUUAGUAUGAUUCUGUGAGGUAGAUUUUAAUUCUCAUUUUACAAAUGAGGAAAUAAGGCACCUGAGGGAUUAUAGAAGUUUCCUGAAGACACAUAACUAAUAAAUGGCAGAAUUGGGAUUUGAAUGUAGGUCUGCCUGGUUGCAAACCCUGUUUUGCAGAAAGUCUCCCCUCAUAUUUCAUAAAAUAACCUCAGCCCAGUCAUAUCACCAUCUUUAUUUAUGAGUUAUUGGAGAGGAGUAUAAGUUGGCCAAGCCUCUGUUCCACAGUGGGAAAAUACGAGUAGGAUUUGAAUGUGUUAAGAAUGGGCUGCUUGUACAGUGUCUUAUUUGUGCUUCUGAGGGAAUGUUUUCCUGUUUUCCUCUUCAUCAGUGGGGUCUAUGCAGAGAAGCUUUUGAAGUUGGACUCAGUCCUGAGGUCUGAACUUUUUCUAUUAGUCACCUUCAAGCCAGGUGAUUUGUGACCAUUUAAAGAUUAUGCCAUGUAGAAGCCCUUGCUGGAUCUUUUUAGAAAAGGAUACAAGGGGGAGGGUUACUUAAGUGGGGGAGAUUAUAGGGUAUAAUGUGCAAGGGCAGGGCUAGCAGCUGCUUUGUGACUAUCAAUAUAUCCAAAACAUAAAUGGGUGAAAGGAUUAGUGAAUAUUAAAACUAAUGACAGGAGCAGUUUGGUUCAGUUAUAAUCUAAGGAAAAAAGCUGAGGGGUCUAAUCUAUGUAUUGCUCCAGAUCCAGUGAUUUAAUUUUCAGAAGGAAGGUCCAGUGAUUAAACUCGUGCAAGGAGAUGGCCUGGGGCCUGCUAAAAGUCAGGUUGCAAUUUACAUAGUAUUCAAGACAACCAGAACAAUAUAUAGGACUUUUAGAAGAAACUUCCAAGUUUUCUCCUAUUUCACAUGUUAGCCUUGGGGUAGGGGGGUGGGGGUCUUACACUUCUGGAAUUGGUUAGACCUGUGCUGUAACUCUAAAAUACAUACUGGAUUUCAAAGAUUUAAUAAUAAAAAAAAAUAACGUAAACUAUCACAAUUUUUUCCCUGCUGAUUACAUGUUGAAAUGACAAUACUUUGGAUAUACUGGGUAAAAUAAAAUACUAAA